GCAGAGCAUCCUACGGGAGGCAGCAGUGGGGAAUAUUGCACAAUGGGCGCAAGCCUGAUGCAGCCAUGCCGCGUGUAUGAAGAAGGCCUUCGGGUUGUAAAGUACUUUCAGCAGUGAGGAAGGUGGGUAUGUUAAUAGCAUAUUCAUUUGACGUUAGCUGCAGAAGAAGCACCGGCUAACUCCGUGCCAGCAGCCGCGGUAAUACGGAGGGUGCGAGCGUUAAUCGGAAUUACUGGGCGUAAAGCGCAUGCAGGUGGUUUGUUAAGUCAGAUGUGAAAGCCCGGGGCUCAACCUCGGAAUUGCAUUUGAAACUGGCAAACUAGAGUACUGUAGAGGGGGUAGAAUUUCAGGUGUAGCGGUGAAAAUGCGUAGAGAUCUGAAGGAAUACCGGUGGCGAAGGCGGCCCCCUGGACAGAUACUGACACUCAGAUGCGAAAGCGUGGGGAGCAAACAGGAUUAGAUACCCUGUAG
rnacentral:rRNA from 1 species